AUACGUAGGGUGCGAGCGUUGUCCGGAAUUACUGGGCGUAAAGAGCUCGUAGGUGGUUUGUCGCGUCGUCUGUGAAAUUCCGGGGCUUAACUCCGGGCGUGCAGGCGAUACGGGCAUAACUUGAGUACUGUAGGGGAGACUGGAAUUCCUGGUGUAGCGGUGAAAUGCGCAGAUAUCAGGAGGAACACCGGUGGCGAAGGCGGGUCUCUGGGCAGUAACUGACGCUGAGGAGCGAAAGCAUGGGUAGCGAACAGGAUUAGAUACCCUGGUAGUCCAUGCCGUAAACGGUGGGCGCUAGGUGUAGGGGUCUUCCACGACUUCUGUGCCGUAGCUAACGCAUUAAGCGCCCCGCCUGGGGAGUACGGUCGCAAGGCUAAAACUCAAAGGAAUUGACGGGG
rnacentral:rRNA from 1 species